GGAUAGUUUGAGAAGGAUAGGUAUUAAAUCUUCUUUGUAUAUUUGGUAGAAUUCUCCAGGGAAGCCAUCUGGUCCUAUAUUUUUAUUUUUGGGGAGGUUUUUGAUUACUGUUUCAAUUUCUUUACAUAUGAUUGGUUUAUUCAGACUCUCUAUUUCUUCCAGCUUCAGUUUUGGGGGCUGUUAGAGUCUAAGAAUUUAUCCAUUUCUUCUAGGUUGUCCAAUUUGUUGGCAUAUACUUUUUCAUAGUAUUCUCUUAUAAUAUUUUUUAUUUCUCUGGUAUCCAUUGUGAUGUUUCCUCCUUCAUUUCUAAUUUUACUUAUUUGAGUUUUUUCUCUUUUUUGCUUGGCUCAGUGAGCCUGGCUAAGGAUUUGCCAAUUUUGUUUAGUUUCUAAAAGAGCCAACUUUUUGUUUCGUUGAUAAUUUCUACUGUCUUUUUUGUUUCAAUUUCAUUCAUUUCUGCUCUAAUUUUUAUUAUUUCCCUCCUUCUACUGACUUGGACUUUGCUCUUCUUUUUCUAAUGCUGUUCAUUGUAGCUUGAGAUUGCUUAUCUGAGAUUUUUCUUGUUUAGUGAGGUGAGCCUGUAUUGCAAUGAAUGUCUCUCUUAGGACUGCUUUUCCUGCAUCCCAAAUGAAUUGGUAUGGUGUGUUUUCAUUUUCACUUGUUUCCAGAUAAUAUUUGAUUUCUUCUUUAAUUUCUUCAAUGAUCCAUUUGUUGUUCAGUAAUGUGUUUAGGCUCCUCAUUUUUGCCACUUUACCAGCUUUAUGCUUGUAGUUAAUUUCUAAUAUUAUAGCAUUAUGGUCAGAAAAGAUACUUGAUGUUAUUUCAAUCCUCUUGAAUUUGUUGAGGCUUGCUUUGUUUCCUAACACAUGGUGUAUUCUUGAGAAUUUUCCAUGUGCACUUGAGAAGAAUGUGUAACCUGCAGUUUUUGAAUGGAGUGUUCUAUAUAUAUAUAUAUAUCUAUUAAGUCCAUCUGGUCUAGUUUUUCAUUUAAUUCUACAAUUUCCUUGUUGACUUUCUGUCUGGAUGAUCUAUCCAUUGGUGUUAAUGGGGUGUUGAGGUCCCCUACUAUUCUUGUAUUGUUGUUGAUAUCUCCUUUUAGUUUUGUUAAUAGUUGCUUUACAUAUUUUGGUACUCUUGUGUCGCUUGCAUAUAUAUUUAUAAAUGUUAUGUCUUCUUGGUGGAGUGUCCCUUUUAUCAUUAUAAACUGCGCCUAUUUGUCUCUCUUUACCAGUUUUGCUUUGAAGUCUACUUUGUCUGAUAUAAGUAUGGCAACACCUGCUUUCUUAUCUUCAUUAUUAGCUUGGAAUAUUGGCGAUUUUGGUGUGUCAGGUAGGUGGUUCCGGCGAGUCGAGCAGGUGGUUCCGGCGUGCUCGGCAGGUGGUUCAGGAGGGUCUGGCAGGUGGUUUCGGUCUGUUCGGGGUGUGGUUCCGGCAUCUCAGGCACAUGGUUCUGGCACGUCUGAGAGGUGGUUCCGGCCGGCCCGACAGGUGUUUCCAUGGUGUCCGCCAAGUGGUUCUGGCAUAGCUGGCAGGUGAUGUUGGCGUGACCGGCAGGUGGUUCCAGCCAGCCCGGCAGGUGAUUCCGAAGUGUUCACCAAAUGGUUGUGGCGUAGCCGGCAGGUGAUUUUGGCGUGUCCAGCAGGUGGUUUUGGCGAGUCGAGCAGGUGUUUCUGGCGUGCUGGGCAGUUGCUUCCGGUGUCGUUGGCAUGUGGUUCCGGCAUGUCUGAGACGUGGUUCCGCCAUGCCCGGCAGGUGAUUCCGGAGUGUUCGCCGAGUGGUUCUGGCGCAGCCGGCAGGUGAUUUUGCAUGUCCGGCGGUGGAUCCGGUCUGUCCAGCAGGUGGUUCUGGUGAGCUCGGCAGGUGCUUCCGGUCUCUCCGGCACGUGGUUGUGGCACGUCUGAGAGAUGGUUCCGGCAUGCCCGGCAGGUGAUUCCGGAGUCUCCGGCAUGUGCUUCUGUCACCUAUGAGAGGUGGUUCCGGUCUGUCCUGGAGGUGGUUCCGGAGUGUCUGCCGAGUGGUUCUGGCGUAGCCGGCAGGUGAUUUUGGCGUGUCCAGCAGGUGGUUCUGGGGAGUGGAGCAGGUGGUUCCGGCAUACUCGGCAGGUGGUUCCGGCGUGUCCGGA
ensembl:lncRNA